rnacentral:tRNA from 1 species
AAGACCUAUAGGACUCUAACCCACAUCUGCUGAUUGCAAUCCAACUGCUUUAAUUAAACUAAGGCCUCA